AGACAAGUUUUUUUACUGUGCUCUCAUGAUAAAGGCAACAUGCCUCUAUUUUGGACAGGUAGUUUAUUUAUUUUAAAUUUUUUUGUCAUUUUCUCCCUGAAAACAAAUGAUACACAUUAGCAGACAUCCAUUAUAUAAUAGUGCUAAACAGUGUGUAAUUUGUAGGUCUCUCUGUAAUAAGUAAGUUAAGGUAAAAGGUUACUAAGUUAAAAGCACACAAAGAACUGUUAUUAAACACUUUCACUCAGAAAAUGUAUGAAACUUUGUAAUUAGAGGGAUUCCUCAUUGAAAAACAUAAAAUCGGUUUAAAUGGUCCCACAGAGUAUUGGUGAAAAAAGACAAUGUUUUCCUUUAAAAAUGUAAGAUAUGUUUACAGAAACAUGCAUCUCUAUCUGUAUGGUAUUCAGCUGUAGUGAUAGCUGAUGCAUUUGCCCAUAUAAGAGAUUUUCUGGAGUAUGACAAGUUUAAUGAUUCUAUGAGUCUCACUUGUGAAACAGGCAUUAUAGUACAUGAGAGUGUUUAAUGGUUCAUAAUGCUCACAUGGCCUCAUUUUGAGACAGGGGUAACUGCAGCCUGGAGCAAUGGGCGUGCCGAAAGGUAGGGGCGUGCCAAAAGGUAGGGGCGUGCCAAAAGGUUUCUCAUUGGUCAAAUGUUAAGACAGCUUGUUACAAUACAAUCAUAAUAGAGCUGAUAGUUUAUAUCUGCGUCCUUUUUGUGCAAUACAGUACAGAAUACAUCCUGUAAGAAUAAUAAUUAUUACCACCUUUGCUAUUACAACUGAACUAAGAUCAAUUCACAAUCUAUGAAGACGAUUAGACAAAAUAAAAAAUAAAAACUAAUUUAGAGUUUGUUUCUACCUUUCUGCUAGGUGUCCAACUAAUGCAGAGUAUUCAAGUUGCCAACACACUGGUUGUGAAGUACCCUUUCAAGAGAAAUAUAAAAGGAAAUGACUGUAAGUUGCAUUGUUUUUAAUCCAUUGGUUUAUCUCUAUCAACAUAAUCACACACGAUAUUGUAGUAACAAUAUAUUG
ensembl:lncRNA